rnacentral:tRNA from 1 species
GGGCGAUUAGCUCAGUUGGUAGAGCAGCUGACUCUUAAUCAGCGGGUCACAGGUUCGAGCCCUGUAUCGCCUACCA